GGAUGUGAGUGUGAUGUGGCUGCAAUAUCUGUUACCUCAUUGAUCACUAGGGUUGAUCUGACUGAUCUGGCUGGCUAGGCGGCUGUCCCCUUCCUCCCUCACCACUCCAAGUGCAUCCCUCCCGAAGCUGUAGUUGAAGAAGAUGACCUUCCUCACUAGAGGAGGACUCGUAUCUGAGUAGCUGCACUCCCCUGCUACAACCUCCAAACAAGCUCUCAAAGAUUAAAUGGAAGUCAGAGGUCUUUAAAAAGUCCAAAAAAUGCAUAUUAUGAAAAAUUCUGUGUGGAUUU
rnacentral:snRNA from 1 species